rnacentral:rRNA from 1 species
ACUCCUACGGGAGGCAGCAGUGGGGAAUCUUCCGCAAUGGGCGAAAGCCUGACGGAGCAACGCCGCGUGAGUGAUGACGGCCUUCGGGUUGUAAAGCUCUGUGAUCGGGGACGAACGGACUUACUGCUAAUACCGGUAAGUAGUGACGGUACCCGAAUAGCAAGCCACGGCUAACUACGUGCCAGCAGCCGCGGUAAUA